GGGAAACCAACGAAACAGGGCCCCAGUGGAGGGCACAGCCUGCUUGGCCUUUCCAGCUCUGCCCCAGGAGCCACCCUACUCCUCUCAGAGAUUGGAGACUGCUGCCCACACCCCCAGGCUGAGGCCAGAACUCACUCCCAAGCACUCAGCAAUGUCAGUCCCUGAUACAUCCUCAGAACCGCAGAGCUUGGCAAUGACUCUCUCAGGUGAUGGGAGAAUGUCAAGUCCCC